UCGCACACCCUGCCUCCUCCAUCCCAUCUCGGGCUCCAGUCCGCCGCCACCUCCCGCGUCGCCCCGCCUCACCGCGCGCCGCGCGCCGCCCGCCGCCGCCGCCUCCUCCUCCAGCCCGCCGCCACGUCCUGCCCCGCCCCGCCUCAACGUCGGCCACCCGCCCCCGACGCCCCCGCGGGCCGCACGCCCCCGACGCCGCCGUGGGCCACCUGCCCCCAACGCCGCCGCGUGCCGGCCGCCGCACUCGCUAAGGACCUAGAAGCCUGCUGCCCCGCUCGGCGCACCCACUUCGCUCGAGGUUGGGCGAGCGCGGAAGCAGAGUUCGGGACGGCCGAUCGGAAUUCAUCGAUCGGUUCUCUCUUUCUCUCCUCUCCCUUGGAUUCCUGGAUGUGGUGGAUCAAUCUUGGCUUCGUGGUGGCGGCGGAAGGAGCGCCGUGAGAGCAGAUUCCUGCUGGUGCUUGGGACGUUUUCGGCUGGGAUUGAUUUACCAGCUACGUCCAAGCAGGCCACUGGAUUGAUUUCACGAGGCUUAUUAGCUAUGUCCCAAUCCAAGCUAGCUGACUUACUAGCUACGUCCCAAGCAGGCCAAUCCAAUAUGUUGAUCGAUUUGAUUGUUCCCGCUGCAAAGUAAUAUAUUUGGAGGUCAGGAGGUGCGUCGUUCACACUAGAUCGUACCCAGAGUUCUACAAUUAGAACGACAUGGAGCUACAGACAUGCACUUGGAGCACAUGUUGACUUGCAGCUGCGUCUGCAAUCUCCCAAACAAAUGAGUAGCACCGUGUAGUUGUGGGCUUGCAAUAGGUUGGCGGGUAAAUGGUCAUAGAGAGAAUACAACAGGCAUGUUGACUGCUCACUGCUGCGAGUAUUCCAUUCAAGUCGACAACUACAUUUGCAAGAGGUGUGUUGUUUACUUGGAGAAAUUUUUCAGAAAAUCAUCAGUUUAUUUAGCAUUAGUUAAAUCAGUUUGUCGAGCUGAGCUUUUGAUCUUGGUGGUAGUGAGAAUUCUGAUGGUAGAAGAAUUCUGCUAUUGAGAUGGUUCUUCUAUUUUUUUCUGUACUCCUACUAUUCUAAUGCAACAUUACUUUUUAGUGCUAAAGUACUAGCUUACAUCCUUCUACCUUUUUCCCUUGAAAAGCCAGGUAGAAGUUUUGUUUAAACACUUACAUAUAGAAGACUAAGAAUUUCUUUUUGUUCUUCUUGCUGUUGGCUGGUAGCUUUUAGUAGCAAUUUGGAUAAUUCUGUGCAUAAUAUUAUGUAAGGUCAGGGAUUCUGCUGUGGGUGGAUCAUGGCUCCCAGAACAAUGCACACUAUACAGUAGCCUGAGCAAGUUGUGGGUCGUGCCUUCAUAUUGCUGCUCUUUUUCUAUAUGGAUUAAUGCGAAGCACCUCAAAUUUCUCUUUGAACAAUAUAUGUCUCUUUUUAUUUGAUUUGAGUUCCUCGCAGUAGUUGUUUUAGAUGAUAUUGUAGUUUUAUGCCACCGUAUGAUCGAUGAAUUCGAGGUUUGAGGCCCGUCCGGGGGCUGGAGCAGAAGCUUCAGACGAUGGAGUUGAGUGACCCACUCAUCGAUCCCAGAUGUGCUCAAGUGAAGCCAGGGAUCUGAUCCAUCCAUCUCAGAGCGGAUGAAUCAACAGAGGAUCCAUCUGGUCAAACAAGUGAAUUUAGGCUUGAUUAAUUAGCAGGAGCAUACAAGUGUCUUGUGCACAUGUAGUUUUGGUGUGUACAGGUUCAGGUAGUCAACUGUUAAGCAUGGUAGGAUUCGCAAGCUGGUCAGUAGGUGGCGUCAUGGUAUGAUCUAGCAAGACGGCGGAGGGGGCGGCCGGUGGUGACUGGGGAGGAUACGAAGGGAGAUGGAGAGGUUGAGGGAAAUUUAUGGGUCUGAACUGGAGCAAAGGGAGAUAUAGGAUGGGUGAGAAAGAUGGAGAUGUUGAUAGAUAACACCUGUAGGAAAGAGAUGUUGAUAGUUUACUUUUCUUUAUCUCCAAUGCAACUAUCAACUGAUGUGUUGACUGUAUCAUCACAGUUCUCAUGUAAGCAAAGGACCUUGCUUCUUCCGAAAUUAGAUUUUGAAAUAUUUCACUUCUAUUGUUUCUUCAGGCAUAUUGCAUUUGAUCAUGGUUCUCAUGUGAUCGGCUACCUGCAGAUCUACAUAAUAGGGCGAUGAUGUGCAAUAUAGGAGACUUGACCAUCCAAUGAUUUUUUUGCGUUUGGUUUUGCUGCAUCGGUCAGUAUGUGCAUAUCCUUGGAUGUUGUAUUGCUUUUCCUAACUGUGUUUUCUAGAUCAGACAAUGAUUCACAAUGUACUAGGAGGUUUGGACAGCAAGUGAUUGCUGCGUCACAUUUUCUAGGUUGUUAACUCAAGGUAAAUACGAGCACAUCUUAUCCUUACAACGUUUGUCAUUUCUUCUCAUUGUUUGAACCUAUAUUUGAGUAUAAUCAGAUUGCAUAGUUCUUCUCGAUGCCCAUCAUCAUCAUCAUGGCCUAAUCCUCAGGCGCCCCAUUGCAGAAUUUGAUUAGUGUGGCCAAAUAGAUUGGUUGUCUUGCGGUCCCUUCUAACAUUUGGAGUUAAAUGUUGGUUGGUUGCUUUCGACUUAUCACCAUUUGGCCAGUUCUAUCUCUUUCGCACCUCUUCCUCUGUGACAAAGGGAUGAAGCUAUUUGGCUUUGAAAUUUGAAAUAAAGGCCUGAAGUUGGCAACAACGCUCCAAGGCAAAUUUGAUACAUCAAGAUUAACUUUUACAUAGCUUUUGUUACUUAAGAUAUAUCAUAGAAGCACUUCCGUAUCAAUUAUCAGUGCUUAAAAUAUAUUUUUAGAUAUCAUGGAGCAUACGUAAUCCUGGCAUCAACUUUUGUGUAGCGCUUGAUAUAUGUUUAUAAUCAUUUGCAAGACUGCGUUAAGAAAAUGAUGUGAAAUAUUUGGAUUGGUGCAUGCUGCGAGUGGGCUGGAAUGACAUGUUUCCUCUCUCUAUAUAUAUUGUCAUAGUGGUGGACUGUUAUAGGUACAUGCAGAUCUCACACCAUUUUUUACAUAUUUGCAUAUAUCAAUGGUCAAUACUGUUUUUUCUGUUUUCCUACUGACAUUUACAUAUUACUUUGCCUUUUAAAAGCUACAAACGCUUUUCUCUGUACAGACCAUGAAGAGAUGCAUCUCAGAGGACAAGCAAUGCCACGUUUUCAUUGUACUGAAAAUACUUAGUUUCCUGGUCAAUUUUGUUAGUAAUCUAUAUUAACUUUAUUUCUUAUUGAUUUUCUCUGUGCAGACCAUAAAGGGAUGCCUCCCUGGGCAAGAAUGUCACAUUUUCAUUGUACUAAAAAACAUAAUUUCCUGGUCAUUUUUGUUAUUAAUCUGUUAUAUUUAUUAUUAUGAAGUGAAAAUAUUCUGAGGGUGCUUUCAGGUACAUAAAGAUAUAUAAUGUAUUCAGCUUCUGCUUACACUUUAGUUAGUUCAAUGUGUUCAUUACCUCAUACCACCAGCAGUGCCAGUUUUGCUUACUUCCAUUAAUAGCCAUGUAGGGAUUAAUCGUGCCCUAUUAUAUCCUGUCCAGUUACAUAUUUAUGCCUUCUCUUUGGAGUUAGAUUAAUUAGUUAUUGUAUUAUGAGACUGGAGACAUGUUAUUGGUAAUUUGAGCAUUUGAUUAGUAUGUGGAAUGCAUAUUUGUUUUAAUUAAAAAUACGUCAAUUUUUGUAUGAAGCACGGAUUGGGGCUCCGGGUUCACUGUCGCGGUGUUUUUGCAUAAAGAUCCCUGUGCUUUUUAGGAAUUAACCCGCAGUCACAUCCCUAAGUAAAAUAACGGUUCCCGUGAAAAAAAAGGGUCGCCCGCAUCCUCUCGCACACGCACGCCUACCUGCAUCUCCCCAACGGCUUCGCCUCACCGGCGGCAGGCCACCCCGCGCCCAACUAGCCUCGCCUCGCACCGGAGGCGUCCGGAGGCAGGCCAACCCUCCGCCCGACUCGCCUCGCCUCGCACCGGAGGCGGCCGGUGGCAGGUCGGACCGCCCCUCCCCUCGCUGCUGCCGCCAUCUACCACCACCAUCCUCGCCGCUCCCUCCCUCGCCCAGCCAUAUCUAGACGCCUAACCGAGAGAGGAGGAGGGGGGUUGACAAGGAGAGAGCAGUCAGCCGGCGGCGGCGGCGCCUCCGAGUACAGGUAGGCGACGGCAGCGACUCGGUAGCAGCGAGCGGCCGAUUCAUCUCGCCUUCAUCUCCUCGCUAGCUCUCUGUCCUUCACAGGUUCUAAGAUAUGGCCUCUACUCCUCGACAGCCACACCGACGGCCCGUCCAAGAAACCAGCCCUGCUGCUCCCAACCCCCCUGAGUCUCAACCUCGCCGCCUAUUCUGGUCGAUGUUGUGAUUGAUAAUAACCAGGAAGAUUUCACCGCUCAGUUCAUCCAUUUGAAUCCUUCUACUAUAAUUAUGUUCCCUACCCUUUCUUACUUGCAGGAAAUUCAAGUGGGUACACAUGUGAGUAUCUUCUCCUUCCCUCUGUUGUAUGCAUGUGGUCAUUUGUUAUCGCUGAUUAAGAAUCAAGAUCCGUUACUUUCUUGAAUAUUGAAGACUGUCUUAGUUGGUCCAGAUUAAACUUGACAAAUGCAAUUUCCUUUUGGUUCCAUCUGACAAUUUAGUUGUAUUAUUGAUUUGAGCAGUUUUCAGUAAUCUUAAGCCGUCUUCAGAUUUUAGCUCACUCAAUCAUUCUGAAUUAUUUAACCUCAGUAUGAGGUACAUGUGUUCCAAAGAUUAAUCCUGAAAAAUUUGUAGUUGAUCGGUUGGGUCUGUUUGAUUUCUUUAGUAGACUGCAGCGGCAGUCACCAUUGUUCAUGAUCUAUCCUAAAGCUAGAUUAUUUGCACUGCAAUAUCUUUGUUACUUCAAUCAAAUAGUUCAACCGUGUCUUAUUGAUUUGGACGGUUCUUAUUUUAGCCUGCUCGGUCUCUGGAUUAUUUACUGUCAAUUUUGAUGCAUGUCUUUAAUAAAAUAAGAAACUUAUUUUGGUAGCUAAAAUAAACACUAAACGCUACUUGCUCAUGGCGGCUAUGUGUAGAAACACGAUCACGGUGGAGAUCUCGACGGUCGAUGUGAAGCUGGGGCGCAAGAAGGGCACGAAUAUCACCUUCCUAGAAGAAUCUGAUUUUUCUGCGUAAACUAUGUUUACCAUUCAUUCUGACCAGGAGCAUCCAAACAGGGAGAUGCUUCACACCCUGCGUCUAGGCAUGUACUACAACGCCAACCACAUGGCAAAGAUUGCUGACAACUGUUAAGAGAAAGCAAACAACUGAGGAGGAACAAUCUUGUUUGUGCCUAAUGAUGGUUGCCUGAACCUGACACCAGAUACCAUGACAACCUUGAACCUGGACACCAGGGAUAUCUCCCACGGCGUGCCUCUUUAGACCAAAUCCAGCAAUCAACACCUCGUCAAUUUGCUCCAUGAAGUUCAGGAACCAUCAUUAAGCACAAACAAGAUUGUUCCUCCUCGGUUGCUGGCCCUUUAGUCAUAAAAAAUGAUGUGUUGUGCUGGUUAGCAAGUUUUAUCUCCCCCGUGGAUACAGAUUUCAGAAUAUAUUCAUUUUUUCAGUACGAUAGCUUGCAAGUUGCAACGUACCACAAAGCUAG